rnacentral:rRNA from 1 species
AGUGAACGCUGGCGGUAGGCCUAACACAUGCAAGUCGAACGGCAGCACAGUACGUGCUUGCUCUUACGGGUGCCGAGUGGCGGACGGGUGCGGGAUACAUCGGUAUCUACUUUUUCGUACGGGCUAACGUAGGGGCAAUUACCCCAUUACUGCAUACGACCUACGGGGGGAAUCAUCGGAUCUUCGGCUCUUACGUGAUUGAAUGAGCCGAGGUCGGAUUAGCUAGUUGGCGGGGUAAAGGCCCACCAAGGCGACGAUCCGUGACUGGUCUGAGAGGAUGAUCAGUCACACUGGAACUGAGACACGGUCCAGACUCCUACGGGAGGCAGCAGUGGGGAAUAUUGGACAGAGGGCGAAAGCCUGAUCCAGCCAUGCCGCGUGUGUGAAGAAGGUCUUCGGAUUGGAAAGCACUUUAAGUUGGGAGGAAGGGCAGUAAGUUAAUACCUUGCUGUUUUGACGUUACCAACAGAAUAAGCACCGGCUAACUUCGUG